rnacentral:rRNA from 1 species
GAUUAACGCUGGCGGCGUGCAUAACACAUUCAAGUCGAACGAACUAGGGGGCUUCGGUCCUUUAGUUAGUGGCGGACGGGUGAGUAACGCGUGAGCAAUCUACCUUCCAGUACGGAAUAACAACCGGAAACAGUUGCUAAUACCGUAUGAAAUGGCAAUCUCGCAUGAGGUAACCAUCAAAGGUUUACUGCUGGAAGAUGAGCUUGCGUCCGAUUAGAUAGUUGGCGGGGUAACGGCCCACCAAGUCGACGAUCGGUAGCCGGACUGAGAGGUUGAACGGCCACAUCGGAACUGAGAUACGGUCCAGACUCCUACGGGAGGCAGCAGUGGGGAAUAUUGGGCAAUGGGCGAAAGCCUGACCCAGCGACGCCGCGUGAGGGAAGAAGAUCUUCGGAUUGUAAACCUUAGUCAACAGGGAAGAAGAAAGUGACGGUACCUGUGGAGGAAGCCACGGCUAACUACGUGCCAGCCGCCGCCGUAAGAC